UACGUAGGGGGCAAGCGUUGUCCGGAGUGACUGGGCGUAAAGGGCGCGUAGGCGGCUAAAAAAGUCAGGUGUAAAAGGCACCGGCUCAACCGGUGAUAAGCAGCUGAAACUAGAUAGCUAGAGUACAGGAGAGGAGAUCGGAAUUCCUGGUGUAGCGGUGAAAUGCGUAGAUAUCAGGAAGAACACCAGUGGCGAAGGCGGAUCUCUGGACUGGGACUGACGCUGAGGCGCGAAAGCGUGGGUAGCAAACAGG
rnacentral:rRNA from 1 species